CAUUUUUGUUUUUACUUGAGUUUAGUAAUCAUCCACAGGGAGCUGUAGGUAUAGAGUAUGUACAAAUUUCAUAUUUCUUGAACACUUAAGAGAGUUCACAAAAUAUCCAGGCCUUCCUGUCACAGAGUGUUCUGUCUAUGUGACAUCAGAUAUAGAGAAUCCAGAUGCAAAAGCAUGAAUGCUUCUAUAGCCCAGGAUCUCACACGCUCUCUUGGCCAGGUGGGUGGGAGUGGUUUCUAAGUAAGAAAGUCAGUCAGUCGAGCUUCCAACUAGCUAAUAAGCAACUUUAAGAACAGUCAGGUGACUAAACUUCCAAACAAAAACUUCCAGAAGGCUUAAUAUUAAUGCAACAGUAAGUUUAGCAAAGGGAUGGAGUAUAAAACCACCGCCAACAAAUUUACAAAAGUCCUGAGUUCUUAUCCUGGCUUUGCCUGUAAAACAUUGUAUCCUUUAAAAGUCCCUUAAAUUCCCCCAUGCCUCUGGAACAUCCUAUUAAAAAAUACUGUGUCUCUUCCUCUUGGAAAAUAUUGUGAGAUUUAAAGAGAGGUAAUGGGAAAGGAUCUUCUGCACAUUUAAAAUAUACAUCAGGUAUGUGUUACUUAUGAUAUAGGGUACGUAUAUAUAAAUAGAGACGCUUGUAGAGAGAUUGAAACACAUUAAUUCCUAGGACUUUAUAAUCCUAAGGGAAAAGAGAAUAUUUGGGGCAUUUAAAGCAUAUGUGGGUACAGAAUACAGAUGGAGUUCAUAGGAUAUAUGUUAAAAAAUGUAACAAAAAUAGAAAAUGUAGAUAGAAAGGACUUUUGCUUGCUGAUCGAAUUUUUUUUGUUUGGGUUCACCUCUUUUCAGCUGACUUUUGUGCAUUUUUUUUUCUGAUAAUACCUUGUAAAUGUCUGCUACAUACAACAUGAAGAGCAAGCUUGUGUGAUUGUUUUAAAAAUGAUGUUUUUUGUACAUGCCUCAGAUAAAUUGAAGUUGAAUUGCUAAUUAGAUAUUAAGGUAUUAAACCAAUGGCAUAAAAUGUGUCCUCAGAAACCUAAACAUUUCAGAUGUGAAACCUAAAUUCCAAUGCUGUGUCCUCCAUUUCUCCUGCAGGUAAAGGAAAGCAACCCAAAAAGAACCAUCUCAAACUUAUGUAAAACAACUUCCUGUUCCUCUAAAAGUGUAGGUCCUUGUGAUAAAAACAACUCCUUAGGAAAAGAAAUAUAUACCCCAUUUUUCAAAUCUAUUUGUCAAUAGGAAUUUUUUCUCAUAAUUAAUACAGGAUUAGUGUUCACUUCUUAGGCAUUUUAUUCCAUCAGGCUGACUGUUUAAAGGUAUUUUUUUUUUUUUUUUUUUUUGGAAAGCAUUGAAAUAAAGACUGACAGUAGUGACGACCCCCUUGUCAGCAAGAAGCAGUCAGAGUGGUCCUCGCUCCUUUUCCCCCCAACAGUUAGGGUCUCCAACUCUAGAAGGGAGGAUUGAAGCGGAAUAAUAACUCAAGUCCUCAGUGCAGGAGCAUGGGCUUCGAUGCGUUCUUUGAUAUGGCCAUGGAUUAACGUUUGUGGCCUAAGGGCUCCAGGGAGUAGCAUCCCCACAGCCCUUGUUUACUAUAGAGAGUGUACCUACGCCCAAAUGGACAUUAAUCCCUAACCCCCUGUGAUUCAGUUUAUGUCAAGAAAAGGGCAAAGAAACCAUGAGAGUUAGGGGACAUUUCCACCCCUAACAUCCCUUUUGGACAAGGACUGAUAAUAGGUAAUUGGGCAAAGCCAGUGGGAGAAAACCACAUCUUUCUGGACCCCACGUUGGUACCCCCUCCCCUAUCUUUAAGGGAUAAAAACCUCUAUAGGACAAUAGCAAGCAGGGGCUCUUCUCCCCCUUCCCAGCAGCCCUGGGAGCUAUUUGCUUUCCUUAAAUAAAGGCUUUGCUAAAUAAAUAAAUAUUUUUAAAAAAAUAGAUGCCAGGUAGUCACCAGAGUUAGGAAGGGAUGGGGUGAAUAGGGGAUACAAAGAUGAAGGAAGCAGGACUUGUGCCUUCUAGGAGAGAUCAACCUGGUGAAAAUAAGUUUGUAAAAAAUUAACUACAGGGCAGGAUUAAAUAAGUUCUAAGUUCAGGUCAGAAAAAGAAACAUGCUCAUAAGAAAUAAAGGAAGGAAUUUUUAAUUUUAAACUUUUGUUGGUAGUUUGGAAUUCUAUUUUUUUCCUUUUUAUUUGAUUUAUUUUUUAUUUUUUUGGCCACACUCAUGGCAUGAGGAGGUUCCUAGGCCAGGGACUGAACCCUAACAACAGUGGUGACAAUGCCAGAUCCUUAACUCACUGAGCCAGCAGGGAACUCCUCUACUUUUUUCUUUAUCUGAUGCUUCCUUUAUUGAAAUCCUUAGACACUAUAUAGGGAUUGCUUAUGGAGAGAUGUAGAGGGCCAAGUAUGUUUUUCAGGUUUAACCUUUUCCCAUAUCAUAAGUUACUUCUCCAUGGGGCAUUACUUCUCCAUGGGGCCAGGCUAGAUAGAGCAUGAGUGAUGUUUUUUUUCCUUCUGAAUAUAUCCUGCAUGAUUUUGCACAUGUAGGUUUUGAAUUUCUUCUUUAAUUCAGUUGCUUUAUGACAGUAAUGGUGGGGCCCCUUGCUUUUCCCUGCCAGCAUCAGGAGAACCUAGGCAGUCAGUAGAGAGGACAGCUGUGUGUCACCAUCGUGUCACCCUCAUCCAGGCUAAUAAAGCUCUGAUCAGUGUUAUCUGCAAUUCCUUGAUCCUAUCUCAGAGGUCUAAGGCAAAGGCAUCUAUAUUGUUGUUAGGUCACUCACAGACGCCAGAGAAAUUUAGUUCCAGAGUUGCUGGUCCUUAUAGAUUAGAAGCCCCAAGGUCUUCUGCACUUCACAAUGUAAAUUUUGGUAAUGCAGUUAUUGACCUAUUCAGCAUAUAGAAUACUUCUAUAAGCACCAUGUCCCAAAAGGGAUCGUGGUAUUUUGCUGGCAGUUUUGUGGCUGUAACUUCUUUUUCUAGACCACUCAGUAAUUCCAUACACUUUUUCUUCUCAGGGUCCAGAAUUACUUGGAGCCCACUUAUUCCUUUCAGGUCAACACUUCAUUUCUUUUGGUCAAAUUCUGUUACAGGAGUCUCCUUUCCUCUUAAAAAUUGCUUUAAGAAACAAAACCACAAAUGUCAUUGUAUAACUACCUCAUUUUAAAAAUACUUACAGAUUUUAAAAGAAUGUAUAUAUGUAUGUGUGACCAGGUCACCUUGCUGUACAGUAGAAAACUGACAGAACACUGUAAAUCAGCUAUAAUGGAAAAAAGUAAAACUGAUUAAAAAUAAAAAAUAUGAAGUAAAUAAAAAUACUUACAGAUUUUAGAGCACUCUGUUUUAAUACCCAGCAAAGCUCGCUAAUAAAUCAUGUUAACACCCUGCUGUGGAAGGACUCACAGUGCUUGGCAAGUACAGCUGACCUAUGGCAUUUUCAGAUUUCUUAGCUUUUAUUUGACUAUGUGUUGUUGCUCUCCAAUUCAGUGGGCAUAGGUUUGUAGAAGGCUAGAUUCUAAUGGGACUGGGACCACUGAGGGAUGCUAGACAGUAUCUGUCUUUAAAUGUCCUUGUGACUUUUGGUCUUCCGGCAGUCUUAGCUUAAUCAGUAAUACCUGCAACAUGGAAAAUGUAUUUGUGAAAAAUGGUCGUCCAGUAAAAGAAAUAAUCUCGAUGAAAUGUAAAAAUACGUUUAACUUGUGCUAUGAGGAUAUUCAUAGGAAAUAUGUGACUUCCUAUGAAAAUAUGAUUCAGAAAAAAGCUAGGUGCCUGGAUAAACAUUUCAGUAAUCAUGGUUUUAAGGAUUCAAGGAUGUUUGCCCUAGGAGUUUUAUCUACUCUUAGGAUGGAUGAGGGAAAGGACUCCAGAGAUGCUGGCUUCCUAGGUGACCAAGGGAAGGCUGGUGAAGGUCAGUGGAAAGACAGCAGGUUGAUGACUGCCACACCAGGAACUAUUGAAUUUAAAAUAACUAACAUUGGCUAUACAUCUGAAACUGAUAUCAUAUUGGAAAUCCACUAGACUUCAAUAAAAACUAAAGUAGGUAAUAAAAAGAAUCAAAACCUUUGUUCAUAGGCACAUUUACUUGUCCCAAAAUGAACGUAUGCAUAUGAGUUUUAUAUCAAUUUGCCAUAGAGUGAUAUUCAAGUAAAAUGCACUUCCUUAAAUUCACAUUUCUGGUGAUGCUUAUCUUUUCAGUAGAUGAGUUACCUAACCUUUUGAUUUCAGAAGCAUUUUAACCCCAGAAGUAUUUAACACUCCCUUCCAUCAUAACUUUAUCCAGUGUGGCAUUCUCAGCAUAUUUCUUCAUUCUAACACCUCUGUCCAUCCCCACCUUUAGACUUGCCUAAUCUAUAGCCUGGAUGAUAGGAAUCACCUUCUCAUUGAUCCAUCUGCACAAAGACUCCUUACUUCAGACUCUUUGCACUGUGACCAGGAUUCUCUC
rnacentral:lncRNA from 1 species